rnacentral:rRNA from 1 species
CACGUAGGGGCCAAGCGUUGUCCGGAUUUAUUGGGCGUAAAGAGCUCGUAGGCGGUUCGGUAAGUCGGGUGUGAAACCUCCAGGCUCAACCUGGAGACGCCACCCGAUACUGCUGUGACUGGAGUCCGGUAGGGGAGCGUGGAAUUCCUGGUGUAGCGGUGAAAUGCGCAGAUAUCAGGAGGAACACCAGCGGCGAAGGCGGCGCUCUGGGCCGGUACUGACGCUGAGGAGCGAAAGCGUGGGGAGCGAACAGG